AGCUAGUGAUGUACACUUAUAUUUGCUACUCUUGAUUGCCUAUGAUGAUUAACCACCAAGAUCUCUGAAGCU